AGCGAACGCUGGCGGCAGGCCUAACACAUGCAAGUCGAACGAACUCUUCGGAGUUAGUGGCGGACGGGUGAGUAACACGUGGGAACGUGCCUUUAGGUUCGGAAUAACUCAGGGAAACUUGUGCUAAUACCGAAUGUGCCCUUCGGGGGAAAGAUUUAUCGCCUUUAGAGCGGCCCGCGUCUGAUUAGCUAGUUGGUGAGGUAAAGGCUCCCCAAGGCGACGAUCAGUAGCUGGUCUGAGAGGAUGAUCAGCCACAUUGGGACUGAGACACGGCCCAAACUCCUACGGGAGGCAGCAGUGGGGAAUCUUGCGCAAUGGGCGAAAGCCUGACGCAGCCAUGCCGCGUGAAUGAUGAAGGUCUUAGGAUUGUAAAAUUCUUUCACCGGGGACGAUAAUGACGGUACCCGGAGAAGAAGCCCCGGCUAACUUCGUG
rnacentral:rRNA from 1 species